GCAAGUCGAACGAGAAAGCCACUUCGGUGGCGAGUAGAGUGGCGCCCGGGUGAGUAACACGUAGUUGACCUGCCUUUUCGUGGGGGAUAACCCGAAGAAAUUCGGGCUAAUACCGCAUAAUAAGUACAAAUUUGGAAUUAGUAUUUUAAAGGAUGCCUCUCCUUGGAAGCAUUCGCGAAAAGAUGGGCCUGCGGUGGAUUAGCUUGUUGGUGGGGUAAUGGCCUACCAAGGCUACGAUGCAUAGCUGGUCUGAGAGGAUGAUC
rnacentral:rRNA from 1 species